GACGAACGCUGGCGGCGUGCCUAAUACAUGCAAGUAGAACGCUGAAGAGAGGAGCUUGCUCUUCUUGGAUGAGUUGCGAACGGGUGAGUAACGCGUAGGUAACCUGCCUGGUAGCGGGGGAUAACUAUUGGAAACGAUAGCUAAUACCGCAUGAUAUUAAUUGUCGCAUGAUAAUUAAUUGAAAGAUGCAAUUGCAUCACUACCAGAUGGACCUGCGUUGUAUUAGCUAGUUGGUGAGGUAACGGCUCACCAAGGCGACGAUACAUAGCCGACCUGAGAGGGUGAUCGGCCACACUGGGACUGAGACACGGCCCAGACUCCUACGGGAGGCAGCAGUAGGGAAUCUUCGGCAAUGGGGGGAACCCUGACCGAGCAACGCCGCGUGAGUGAAGAAGGUUUUCGGAUCGUAAAGCUCUGUUGUAAGAGAAGAACGGGUGUGAGAGUGGAAAGUUCACA
rnacentral:rRNA from 1 species